UACGUAGGGUCCAAGCGUUGUCCGGAAUUACUGGGCGUAAAGAGCUCGUAGGUGGUUUGUCGCGUUGUUCGUGAAAACCUGAGGCUUAACCUUGGGCGUGCAGGCGAUACGGGCAGACUGGAGUACUGCAGGGGAGACUGGAAUUCCUGGUGUAGCGGUGGAAUGCGCAGAUAUCAGGAGGAACACCGGUGGCGAAGGCGGGUCUCUGGGCAGUAACUGACGCUGAGGAGCGAAAGCGUGGGGAGCGAACAGG
rnacentral:rRNA from 1 species